rnacentral:rRNA from 1 species
CCUACGGGAGGCAGCAGUGGGGAAUAUUGCGCAAUGGGCGAAAGCCUGACGCAGCGACGCCGCGUGUGGGAUGACGGCCUUCGGGUUGUAAACCACUGUCGCGAGGGACGAAGAUCUGACGGUACCUCGAAAGGAAGCACCGGCUAACUCUGUGCCAGCAGCCGCGGUAAUACAGAGGGUGCGAGCGUUGUCCGGAAUCACUGGGCGUAAAGGGCGCGUAGGUGGCCUGGUAAGUAGGGGGUGAAAUCUCGAGGCUCAACUUCGAGGCUGCCUUCUAAACUGUCAGGCUUGAGCAGAGUAGAGGCAGGUGGAAUUCCCGGUGUAGCGGUGGAAUGCGUAGAGAUCGGGAAGAACAUCGGUGGCGAAGGCGGCCUGCUGGGCUCUUGCUGACACUGAUGCGCGACAGCGUGGGGAGCAAACAGGAUUAGAUACCCUGGUAGUCCACGCCGUAAACGAUGGGUACUAGGCGCCGGGGGGAGCGACCCCUUCGGUGCCGUCGCUAACGCAAUAAGUACCCGCCUGGGGAGUACGGCCGCAAGGCUGAAACUCAAAGAUAGACGGCGNGNGAGACGACGACGACGACGAGGAGAGG